CAUUAAAUCCUCACCGGCUGCCGAACGGGCCGUCUUCGUCAUCUGCCGCCCCCUCUCCCCCUCUCACUCUUUUCUCUACUCCCAUCUCCACUACCGAACGUUUUGGGGGUGCGUGCGAGUAAAGCAGCGGAGGCAGACACAGCAGUACAGCAAGGACGGCUGGUGCAGAGUCGGCGGUGCCAUAAAGCUCCGAGCGAGAUAACUCAGCGGUGAGGGCAAGCCGACACGCCCACCCUCACCUGUAUACGCACGCACACGUGCACGACAAGGAAGGUGAGGGAGGGUUGCUGAUCCAGAUCGCGACGCCGGAGCGCAGGGAAAGGCAUGCAUCGCUCACUUCUGCGGUGUGCCGUCCGUGGGGAGUCGAUGAUGGAGUCGUAUCGCUCUGACGCUCUACUGCGCCUUCGAUGCCAUUUUGGUGCCAUGCGACGCGGCUCUCCGAUGGGUUCGGCCGCCACCGAAGCUGCCGCCCUUGUGAACAUCACGAUAACGCCGCUUACGUGCAGCCGUCGCGCUUUCCGCCAGCAGGGCGCAGCCAACCCAAACAACCCCGACGCGACCGAGGCGGCGGAGCUCGAGAAAGACUGGCAGGCGUUGAAGACGUACGGCAUGAUAGGAGGCUUUGCUCUUCUCUGCAUCGCGACGCUGUGGUACGGAAGCCGCCAAGCCAAGAAGCGCUACUUCGGUGCGGAGGGCAGCGCGCGGGUCAGCGUCGAAACGCGUGGCCGCCCCGCGCUCGGUGGGCCGUUUGUGCUGGUGAACACGAAGGGUGAGCCAGUGUCGCAGGCGGAAUUCCUCGGCUCAUGGGCCUUCUUUUACUUCGGCUUCACUCACUGCCCGGAGAUCUGCCCGGUCGAGCUGAACCGCAUGUCGCACGUCGUCGACGCUGUCCGCGCUGCCCGCCCGCAGGAGCGCAUUGCGCCGUUGUUUGUCUCGUGCGACCCGCGCCGUGACUCGCUCGAGGCCAUCGACGAGUACCUCUCCGUGUUCCACCCCGACUUCAUUGGGCUCGUUGGCACGCCGAAGCAGGUGAACGACGCAUGCCGCUCGUACCGCAUCUACUACUCCAUCCCCACCGAAGAGGACGCCGAGCAGGAGGACUACCUGAUCGACCACAGCAUUGCCAUCUUCCUCUUCGAUCCACAGGGCCGCUUCGUCGACUUCUUCGGAAACCGCUACGACGAGCGCGAGAUUACGGAGAAGGUGCUGCACUACAUGUCCGAGUACGCCAAGGAUCCGACGUGGACAAACUGGUAAGGACGGGUGAGGCAAGACGCUGCCGGUCUCUCUCUUAUCAUGUCACUUGCGCUGGUUGGCCUCUUGCUCCUUCUUGUGUGGUGAUUAUGAUGAUAGCGUUGUUUCUGUGGUGGACUGCACCGGUGGUCUUUCUCUCCGCAUGUAUGUCGCGCGUUGCGCAUGUGCCUGAACGCGACUCUGCACGUGCUUGACUCGGGGUGAGAACUGUCUACACACUCUCUCGAUUAACAGCAACACAAAGAGUGAGCAACUCGUCGAUUUCAGCCCACACGUCCACCACCACCACCGCCACCACUCGCGCCGCCCUUCCCCUUUUUCGCGGGCUGCACGCCCCCCUCCCCUCCCUCCCUUCCUCUCGCUCUCGCUCGACACGGUGCGCGCUUCCUCGCACUGGCACGCGCAGAGCUACAGUCACAGAUACAAACACGAAAGGGGCAUGCACGCGGGCGCCGGAGACUUGGGAUAGGGCUGCAGGUGCGUACGUUCCGCUUGCACCGCUUCUGCGAUGCACACCUUUUGCGACCCCCACCCACACACCUCCUUCUCCUGCCGGCAUCGCGUUCAAGCCAUCAUGCCGAUGUCUGCGUGGACAUGUGCGGGCGCGUAUGUCGUCGUGGAAGGGACAUGUGUCAUGGAAACCACCCUCUCAAACUCACUCGUGCAUCUCUCUCGCGCAUACUUCUCGUUGACCGCUGCAG
rnacentral:misc_RNA from 1 species